GACGAACGCUGGCGGCGUGCUUAACACAUGCAAGUCGAACGGAAAGGCCCUGCUUUUGUGGGGUGCUCGAGUGGCGAACGGGUGAGUAACACGUGAGUAACCUGCCCUUGACUUUGGGAUAACUUCAGGAAACUGGGGCUAAUACCGGAUAGGAGCUCCUGCUGCAUGGUGGGGGUUGGAAAGUUUCGGCGGUUGGGGAUGGACUCGCGGCUUAUCAGCUUGUUGGUGGGGUAGUGGCUUACCAAGGCUUUGACGGGUAGCCGGCCUGAGAGGGUGACCGGCCACAUUGGGACUGAGAUACGGCCCAGACUCCUACGGGAGGCAGCAGUGGGGAAUAUUGCACAAUGGGCGGAAGCCUGAUGCAGCAACGCCGCGUGCGGGAUGACGGCCUUCGGGUUGUAAACCGCUUUCGCCUGUGACGAAGCGUGAGUGACGGUAAUGGGUAAAGAAGCACCGGCUAACUACGUGCCAGCAGCCGCGGUGAUACGUAGGGUGCGAGCGUUGUCCGGAUUUAUUGGGCGUAAAGGGCUCGUAGGUGGUUGAUCGCGUCGGAAGUGUAAUCUUGGGGCUUAACCCUGAGCGUGCUUUCGAUACGGGUUGACUUGAGGAAGGUAGGGGAGAAUGGAAUUCCUGGUGGAGCGGUGGAAUGCGCAGAUAUCAGGAGGAACACCAGUGGCGAAGGCGGUUCUCUGGGCCUUUCCUGACGCUGAGGAGCGAAAGCGUGGGGAGCGAACAGGCUUAGAUACCCUGGUAGUCCACGCUGUAAACGGUGGGUACUAGGUGUGGGGUCCAUUCCACGGGUUCCGUGCCGUAGCUAACGCUUUAAGUACCCCGCCUGGGGAGUACGGCCGCAAGGCUAAAACUCAAAGGAAUUGGCGGGGCCCCGCACAAGCGGCGGAGCAUGCGGAUUAAUUCGAUGCAACGCGUAGAACCUUACCUGGGUUUGACAUGGAUCGGGAGUGCUCAGAGAUGGGUGUGCCUCUUUUGGGGUCGGUUCACAGGUGGUGCAUGGCUGUCGUCAGCUCGUGUCGUGAGAUGUUGGGUUAAGUCCCGCAACGAGCGCAACCCUUGUUCACUGUUGCCAGCACGUUAUGGUGGGGACUCAGUGGAGACCGCCGGGGUCAACUCGGAGGAAGGUGGGGAUGACGUCAAGUCAUCAUGCCCCUUAUGUCCAGGGCUUCACGCAUGCUACAAUGGCUGGUACAGAGAGUGGCGAGCCUGUGAGGGUGAGCGAAUCUCGGAAAGCCGGUCUCAGUUCGGAUUGGGGUCCGCAACUCGACCUCAUGAAGUCGGAGUCGCUAGUAAUCGCAGAUCAGCAACGCUGCGGUGAAUACGUUCCCGGGGCU
rnacentral:rRNA from 1 species